rnacentral:rRNA from 1 species
AAUAGAUACCCAGGUAGUCCACGCCGUAAACGAUGAGUGCUAAGUGUUAGAGGGUUUCCGCCCUUUAGUGCUGCAGCUAACGCAUUAAGCACUCCGCCUGGGGAGUACGGCCGCAAGGCUGAAACUCAAAGGAAUUGACGGGGGCCCGCACAAGCGGUGGAGCAUGUGGUUUAAUUCGAAGCAACGCGAAGAACCUUACCAGGUCUUGACAUCCUCUGACAACCCUAGAGAUAGGGCUUUCCCCUUCGGGGGACAGAGUGACAGGUGGUGCACGGUUGUCGUCAGCUCGUGUCGUGAGAUAUUGGGUUAAGUCCCGCAACGAGCGCAACCCUUGAUCUUAGUUGCCAGCAUUCAGUUGGGCACUCUAAGGUGACUGCCGGUGACAAACCGGAGGAAGGUGGGGAUGACGUCAAAUCAUCAUGCCCCUUAUGACCUGGGCUACACACGUGCUACAAUGGAUGGUACAAAGGGCUGCAAACCUGCGAAGGUAAGCGAAUCCCAUAAAGCCAUUCUCAGUUCGGAUUGCAGG